GAUGAACGCUGACAGAAUGCUUAACACAUGCAAGUCUACUUGAACUUCGGUUUGGGUGGCGGACGGGUGAGUAACGCGUAAAGAACUUGCCUCACAGAUAGGGACAACAUUUGGAAACGAAUGCUAAUACCUGAUAUUAUGAUUUUAGGGCAUCCUAGAAUUAUGAAAGCUAUAUGCACUGUGAGAGAGCUUUGCGUCCCAUUAGCUAGUUGGAGAGGUAACGGCUCACCAAGGCGAUGAUGGGUAGCCGGCCUGAGAGGGUGGUCGGCCACAAGGGGACUGAGACACGGCCCUUACUCCUACGGGAGGCAGCAGUGGGGAAUAUUGGACAAUGGACCAAGAGUCUGAUCCAGCAAUUCUGUGUGCACGAUGAAGUUUUUCGGAAUGUAAAGUGCUUUCAGUUGGGAAGAAAAAAAUGACGGUACCAACAGAAGAAGUGACGGCUAAAUACGUG
rnacentral:rRNA from 1 species